AUGAACGCUAGCGACAGGCUUAACACAUGCAAGUCGAGGGGCAGCGGGGGAUAAGCUUGCUUUUCCUGCCGGCGACCGGCGCACGGGUGAGUAACACGUAUGCAACCUGCCCCUGUCAGAGGGAUAAUCCGGAGAAAUCCGGUCUAAUAUCGCAUAAAGCGUUUGCGGGGCAUCCUGCGAGCGCCAAAGGAGUAAUCCGGACAGGGAUGGGCAUGCGGCGCAUUAGCUAGUUGGGGGGGUAACGGCCCACCAAGGCGACGAUGCGUAGGGGUUCUGAGAGGAAGGUCCCCCACAUUGGUACUGAGACACGGACCAAACUCCUACGGGAGGCAGCAGUGAGGAAUAUUGGUCAAUGGGCGGAAGCCUGAACCAGCCAAGUCGCGUGAGGGAAGACGGCCCUAUGGGUUGUAAACCUCUUUUGCCGGGGAGCAAAAGCGCCGUGCGCGGUGCUAUGAGAGUACCCGGAGAAAAAGCAUCGGCUAACUCCGUGCCAGCAGCCGCGGUAAUACGGAGGAUGCGAGCGUUAUCCGGAUUUAUUGGGUUUAAAGGGUGCGUAGGCGGACAGUUAAGUCAGCGGUCAAAACGGGCGGCUCAACCGCCUGCCGCCGUUGAAACUGGCAGUCUAGAGUGGGCGAGAAGUACGCGGAAUGCGCGGUGUAGCGGUGAAAUGCAUAGAUAUUGCGCAGAACUCCGAUUGCGAAGGCAGCGUACCGGCGCCCGACUGACGCUGAGGCACGAAAGCGUGGGGAUCGAACAGGAUUAGAUACCCUGGUAGUCCACGCAGUAAACGAUGGACACUAUCUGUUCGGGUCGAAUGGGAUCUGAGUGGCACAGCGAAAGCGUUAAGUGUCCCACCUGGGGAGUACGCCGGCAACGGUGAAACUCAAAGGAAUUGACGGGGGCCCGCACAAGCGGAGGAACAUGUGGUUUAAUUCGAUGAUACGCGAGGAACCUUACCCGGGCUUGAACUGCAGGAGAACGAUUCAGAGAUGAUGAGGUCCUUCGGGACUCCUGUGGAGGUGCUGCAUGGUUGUCGUCAGCUCGUGCCGUGAGGUGUCGGCUUAAGUGCCAUAACGAGCGCAACCCCCAUCCGCAGUUGCCAGCAGGUAAAGCUGGGGACUCUGCGGAGACUGCCGGCGCAAGCUGAGAGGAAGGCGGGGAUGACGUCAAAUCAGCACGGCCCUUACGUCCGGGGCGACACACGUGUUACAAUGGCAGGGACAGAGGGAAGCCACCGGGCGACCGGGCGCGGACCCCGAAACCCUGUCUCAGUUCGGAUCGGAGUCUGCAACUCGACUCCGUGAAGCUGGAUUCGCUAGUAAUCGCGCAUCAGCCAUGGCGCGGUGAAUACGUUCCCGGGCCUUGUACACACCGCCCGUCAAGCCAUGGAAGCCGGGAGUGCCUGAAGUGCGUGACCGCAAGGAGCGCCCUAGGGUAAAACCGGUGACUGGGGCU
rnacentral:rRNA from 1 species